GGGAAGGGGCAGAUAGUAGUUCCACUUAUUUGAUGGAGGUCGCAGUAGACCUGAUAGACUCAGCUGUGUGUAACUCACCUACUGUUUACGGCGGACGUAUCACUGAGCAUAUGCUGUGUGCAGGAGAUCUUAAGAGAGGGAGAGACUCCUGCCAGGGCGACAGUGGGGGUCCACUGGUGUGUAAAGCUGAUGACAAAUGGUAUCUCACAGGCGUAACAAGUUGGGGAGAUGGCUGUGGAAAACAGAACCGUCCAGGGGUCUACAGUAACGUAGGGCAACUUUUAAUGUGGAUAUAUGGCAAG